GUUUAUUUAAACUAAGUACUACAUAGAUUGACUUUUUAUUUAAUGCAUAGAUCGAUUUGCCUUAAUUUGGUUCGUUCACAAUCUGUGUCAUAUUUCAACUUGUUUUUCGGCUAUAAUUGGACAGAAAAUUUAAUGAGAUAAAAGGAGCAUGGUUCAUUUUAUAAUUGGUGACACAUACUGUUUAGGAUGAGCUAUAUAUACAAACCGAUCGUCUCUGAUCAUUAAUAUGCACCCUGCUUAUAUAUGCCCAAAAAGCAUCAAUUAUGGGUCCAUGCCAUGCCCACUAUAAUUGAAAGGUGGAGUACCAGUAAACCUAAAACGACUGAUCAAAUGGUUUAUGUUGAUUGCAAUUGGCAUUUAAGUUUAUAAUCACCUAUAAACUUUUCAAACAUACACAUCCUUUGUGCAGCUGAACAGACUAAUGGGGUAGAUGACGCCAAGAACGGCGGUGGCAGUUAUGAAGACGGACGUGGUGGUUACAACCGCGGAGGAGGAGGCGGCGGACACAAGGGAGGCCGAGGCGGACGUGGUGGCGGCGGUUAUGAAGACGGACGUGGGGGUUACAACCGCGGAGGAGGAGGAGGAGGAGGCGGCGGUGGACACAAGGGAGGCCGAGGCGGACGUGGUGGUGGCGGUGUUUGAGGUGGCAACUAAGAUUGUAUGUUAGGUGCUGUUGAUGAUAUCCGUGCACCGAGUUAAAAUAUGUAUCAAUAAUGGAGGAUAUCCGAUUAUGCCUUUCAGAUUGAUAGUCAAUGUAGUAGUUCGAUCAUCGAUCUGUGAGGGUAUGGUUUGUAUUUAUCUGUUUUUGGUUUUCACUUUGUGUUAAUCUCGCGCGCAUACCAUGAGCGAUGGUAAUGUUUUAAUUUUUAAAGCACAAGGAGCAAACUGUAUGUU